ACUACGGGCGGCAGCAGUGGGGAAUAUUGCACAAUGGGGGAAACCCUGAUGCGGCGACGCCGCGUGAGUGAAGAAGUAUUUCGGUAUGUAAAGCUCUAUCAGCAGGGAAGAUAAUGACGGUACCUGAGUAAGAAGCACCGGCUAACUACGUGCCAGCAGCCGCGGUAAUACGUAGGGGGCAAGCGUUAUCCGGAUUUACCGGGGUGAAAGGGCGCGUAGACGGCUUGGAAAGUCUGGAGUGAAAGCCCGGGGCUCAACCUCGGGACUGCUUUGGAAACUGUUAAGCUGGAGUGCAGGAGAGGGAAGUGGAAUUCCUGGGGUAGCGGUGAAAUGCGUA
rnacentral:rRNA from 1 species